rnacentral:rRNA from 1 species
CCUACGGGUGGCAGCAGUCGAGAAUCAUUCACAAUGGGGGAAACCCUGAUGGUGCGACGCCGCGUGGGGGAAUGAAGGCCUUCGGAUUGUAAACCCCUGUCAUGUGGGAGCAAAUUAAUAAGAUAGUACCACAAGAGGAAGAGACGGCUAACUCUGUGCCAGCAGCCGAGGUAAUACCGAGGUCUCAAGCGUUGUUCGGAAUCACUGGGCGUAAAGCGUGCGUAGGCUGUUUCGUAAGUCGUGUGUGAAAGGCGCGGGCUCAACCCGCGGACGGCACAUGAUACUGCGAGACUAGAGUAAUGGAGGGGGAACUGGAAUUCGCGGUGUAGCAGUGAAAUGCGUAGAUAUCGAGAAGAACACUCGUGGCGAAGGCGGGUUCCUGGACAUUAACUGACGCUGAGGCACGAAGGCCAGGGGAGCGAAAAGGAUUAGAUACCCUAGUAGUC